AUGUUAGAGAACUCAACUAGGGUUAAGAUUGCAACUCAUUGUAAACCUAGGGUAACAUAUGGUUGGUUAGGGCUAAGUAGAGUUCAACUACUAUAUAAAUCCCUCAAUGUAAAUACACAUAAUGUACCUUUUUUUGGUAUGUGCUUUUCUCUUUCUCAUUCUUUUUAUUUUAUAUUUUUAUUUUUAUGAAACCCUUUCUCACUCAUAAUACCUACAACAAUUUCUAUAUAUAUAUUGUAACAAAAUGAGCUCAAAAGAAUGUGGGGUGUGCAUAUAAAGUAACUUUUUUGUUGUUGUUGAAAAACUAGACUCGAAGCCUAGAGAAAAAAUUGAAAAAGUCAAAAAGAGACUAUUAAGAGUCAUGAAUUACCAGAAGAGCUGUAUCAUCAUGUGAAGAAUUUUGUUAUUUUUAGAUAAUCAAGCAAUGAUUUUAGAUGUUUCAGCUGAUUUAUAUACGUCUUAAGGCCCAAUUAUCAAGCCCCAAUAUGGAGUGGCCCGAAUUGAAAUAGUAAAAGCCCAGAUAUUUUUGAAGAAUUAUAUAUGCAUUUUUCAAACACAUCCCUUAGUUAGCACGUUUUUAAAAUUAUUUAAAAAAUUACUCAAUUUCGGAAUGCACAUAAAACUCGAGUCACUUGAACUCGAGUUUUGUAUUUAGUUUUGCCACUUUGCCCUGUUUGUUUAGACAAAAACAUUUUCUAAAAAAUAAGUUAUUUUCUAAAAUAUAUUUUAUGUGAAACUAUUUCAUUUUAGUAAUUAUUUUAAAAUGGAUUGAAAAGUAAUUUUUUAACUUUUUAUUUAUUUAUUUAACUUACUGUGAAAUAGAAUUAUUUAGAAAAAGAAAAAAAAAACAUAUCAAAUAGUACCAAGCCCCAAAGACCCAUGAACAAAACCAAAUACAAAACCCAAAACAUAUCAAAUACCUGAUCGGAUCGUCUCCUCUUGCUCUUCUUCUUCUCUAGAACUCCAACGUGUUCUUCUUCUCCACUGGAGCGGUGGCGGCGAGAAACCACACCCACAUUAAGUGCGAUUCGAUUUCCCUGAAGCCUUCGCCGCCAUCGCCGCCUGGGUUUAGUCAGAAUAACGUUUGUGUUCACAUAAUUUUUUUUGUUCCACCGACAGAAACUUUCAGGUAAUUCUAAACUUUUCAUCUUAGUUUUCUGUUUGUUUGCCUAGAAAAUUGUCAAGAAACAAAAAGAAGUUUUAUAUUGAGAAGUGGGUCCUGAACUUGCAUUGUCCAUUUACUUAUAUCCAUUUCUUGUUGGUUGCUAUGAUAUAUUUAUUAUUAUUAUUAUUAUGCAUCAAAAUCUAAAACUUAUGAUAUUUUUAGUAGUUUUUUUUUUUUUUUUGGUUAGAUUAUUUUUAAGAAAACAUAGAAUUCUUGCUUUGCCUCUUUUGGGCACAGAAGGUGCUUGUUGAAAUGCCUCUUAGAGUUUAAGUUAGUGCAAACUUGUUGUGGAUUCAUAUUCUACCUUUUCAAUUUUUGGGUUUUUAUUUUGGUGUGGUUAGAAUUUGACAAUGAGUGGAUUGAAAUGCUUCAUUGAGUAUAAGUUUGUCAAGACUUGUUGUGGCUCUAUAUUCUUAUUUGUUUUUUGGGGACUUUCAUGUUAGUGUAAGGUACUGAAUUUUUUUUUUUUUUUUUGGGGGUUGUUAUUGUCGUUGUUUGGAUUUGGUUAGAAUUUGAUAGUGAGGAGGAUAGAUAGGAUGAUAGUAGGUGCUCGUACCCCGCUUAAAAGAUGGCAGCAGGCUGCUGUUGCAGUCGGCUCGGCAGUAGGUGCAUUGCUGAAUCCACGAAGAGCAGAUCUAAUAGCAGCCCUUGGGGAGACUACUGGAAAGCCUUCUUUUGAAAGAGUUCUCGAGAGGAUGAAGAGGAGCCCAGAAGGCAGAGUAAGUCUAUUCUCCAAACUUAUUAGUUGUUUAUGACAUAUUUAGAUUUGAUAAUGAAUGAUGACAUUGAAUUUACUGGAUAGCCUGUUGUGUAUUUGUGUGAAUGUUGAUUGUUAUGGUAUUCAUAGUCGUGGCCAUUGUUUCUACUUGACAAGCCUGUCUUUAUGUUUUUGUUGUCAUGAAAAUGAAGUAUUUUGAUUACCGAAAUUUCAUAGUGUUUAAACUAGAUUUUUUUUGGGUUCAUUUUGAAUGAAAACAUGUUCUAUAGAAAUUAGCUUGCUGGUGCCUUUUGAUACUCCUGGUAUGUCCCACGUGUUACUGUUAAAUUUGCUUAUUGGAAGGUCGAAAUUUAAAUUUUACUUUUGUGUUUAUGGGUAUUGAUUGUUUCUGUUCUUGCAAAGGAACUAGUUAUUUUCUGUUCCCUAUGAUGCUUCAUUAUGAACCAUGCUAAUGCUGAUCAAUCCAUGAUUGAUACUUUCUUCAUUCAUAUGCUGAGGGAAUGAGAAUAUUUAAAGAAGAAAAAUCACAGAAUUUUGUACAACUAUAUAGAAUUGCUGGUGCAAAUGCAUUGCUUUAAAUUUUGGAAGGCUGCAAAGCUUGGAGGUCACUAUGAAUGAACAAUUGUAUUGCUAGCGAGAAGAUCCCUUAAUUUUCUUUGGGAUCUUAUCAAUGAAUUUUUAAUUUCUUCUAAUAGGAAUGUGUCGUAUUUUGAAGUAUCAGAGCAUCAGUGUCAUAAAUUGAAGAACAGUCAUGAUGAAAAACAUCCAUGUUAUAGGAAAAGAAAGAUUAAAUAUAUUUCCGUUUCGCUCUUAUAUUAUGCAUUUGAUGACUAAUGAGGCCCAUGAGGGACUGAAUACUUAUUGAGUCAAGUUUGCAAUAUUUGUGGAGAUACAUUUUAUGUUAUUAGAAAAGUGAAAGAGUCACUCAAUUUUUCUCUUAGGUUUUUAAUUGGUACUUUGCAACACAUCCAGAACGUAAUUGUCAAAACUUUGCUGCACUAUGAAUGCAUUUUUUAUAAUUUGAUCACUACCAUGAGGAGAUUGUUUUUUGUGGAUUGGUGUAUUAUGUGCCGACAUUGUGGAGAGACAGUAGACCACUUACUUCUUCAUUGUGAGAUGGCUUAUCGGUUAUGGAGUUUUGUCUUUAUAACUUUUGGCCUGUCUUGGGUUGUACCUAGAUCGAUCCCAGAUUUGCUUUUUGGUUGGUGGAAUUGGUUGGAAGUACUCGUCUCAGAUUUGGAAUUUAGUUCCGUUGUGCAUCCUUUGGUGUAUUUGGAAGGAAUGGAAUCGGCGGACUUUUGAGGAUUUGGAUAGUUCCGGUGAUCAGAUGCUUGCUUCUUUUAGUGGGACUCUUUUUGAUUGGUCUCGGGCAUGGGGACUCACAACUAGUGAUUCUCUCCCUUCUUUCCUUAGCUCUCUUUCUCUUUGUAAUUAAUUUGUUGAUUGGUUUUCUUUUUUUUUUUUCUCUGUUUUCUCCUUUUUGUAUUUUCUGGGUGUGCUCUAUGUUCUUCAUGCAUAGAGUAGCCUUUCGUUUAUAUAACAAUCUUACUUAUCAAGAAAAAGAAUUUGUCAGUGUAUAAAUUUGGGUGGGAUACAAAUUGCCCAUCGACCAAAAUUUUUGUAUCUUGAUUCAUGAAGGGUCAAACUAGUUAGAACAGCCUCUUCGAUCCUUCAACCUACAUUUUGUCAUUGUUUCAAUGUACUUAUGCUUCCAAUUCUUUCAUAUUUAUCUUGCAUUUGUAACUGACUGUUCUGUACUUCUAAUCUUUUUCCCAUUCAUAAACAGAUGAUAUGUGACCCCCAAAAAGAUUGAAAUUUCAGUUUAAUUUUGAGACUGGAAUUUUCAUUUUUGUGAAACCCCCAGUGAUACUGUGUUGAUAGUGUUUUGUAUGAUGCGCAGAUCAAUGAGAAAUCCUUUCUGGAAGAUAGACCAUAGUUUUAAUGUUAAAUCUUCUCUGUUGGCCCCCUAGCUAAUGCUACAUUUCUUUUUUCUCAUUUUGUUGCUGGCAUCUUCUUAACUCUAUGGCCAUGAGUAUUGCCUCUAAUUUUAUUGUUCAUAACCAAGAACAAUUUAUCUACUUGACAGGCUGUUUUGUUGGAGCAACCACGUGUGAUAUCUACAGAAGUGGGGCAUGCUUGGGACCUACCACCGAACACAUUUGGUGCUGCCUAUGCAAACUUCAUGGGAUCAAGAAAUUUUUCUCCCGAUGACAGACCACCGGUGCGGUUCAUGGACACAGAUGAACUGGCAUAUGUAGCCACGCGGGCUCGUGAGGUGCAUGAUUUCUGGCACACCCUUUUUGAUCUCCCUACCAACUUAAUUGGUGAGUCAGCACUCAAGGUGAUAGAGUUUGAGCAAAUGUACCUUCCCAUGUGCAUGCUGUCUGUUGUAGGGGGCACUGCAAGAUUCAAUGAGAAGCAAAGGAAAUUGUUUUUCCAGCACUACUUUCCAUGGGCCGUCCGGGCUGGCCUGCAGUGUACAGAUCUCAUGUGUAUAUAUUAUGAACAGCAUUUUCAUGAGGAUUUGGAGGAUGUUCGGAGGAAAUGGGGGAUACUUCCUGCUCCUAUUCCUCCUACAUAA
rnacentral:sRNA from 1 species